AUGGGAGAACAAGAAAAGUGUACAGGGUGGGUCCCAUUGGACCGAUCCGUAUUCCUCGAUUAUGUGGCUAAGGAAAGAGAAGAGUACUUGAAACUAAGAAGACAAAAUAAAUACAGUACAAACUCAAUCAACGCAAUUCUUUUUCUCCUUCGUUUUUUAUCUCCUUUCCCUUCUACUCGUCCAACUCAGUCUUCGGUUUUCCGACUCACUCUUUUACGAAGGUUUUGA